rnacentral:rRNA from 1 species
GAUGAACGCUGGCGGCGUGCUUAACACAUGCAAGUCGAACGAAGCAAUUUAGCGGAAGUUUUCGGAUGGAAGCUAGAUUGACUGAGUGGCGGACGGGUGAGUAACGCGUGGGUAACCUGCCUCACACUGGGGGACAACAGUUAGAAAUGACUGCUAAUACCGCAUAAGCGCACAGGACCGCAUGGUCUAGUGUGAAAAACUCCGGUGGCGUGAGAUGGACCCGCGUUUGAUUAGCUAGUUGGUGGGGUAACGGCCUACCAAGGCGACGAUCAAUAGCCGACCUGAGAGGGUGACCGGCCACAUUGGGACUGAGACACGGCCCAAACUCCUACGGGAGGCAGCAGUGGGGAAUAUUGCACAAUGGGGGAAACCCUGAUGCAGCGACGCCGCGUGAGUGAAGAAGUAUUUCGGUAUGUAAAGCUCUAUCAGCAGGGAAGAAAAUGACGGUACCUGACUAAGAAGCCCCGGCUAACUACGUGCCAGCAGCCGCGGUAAUACGUAGGGGGCAAGCGUUAUCCGGAUUUACUGGGUGUAAAGGGAGCGUAGACGGUAAAGCAAGUCUGAAGUGAAAGCCCGGGGCUCAACCCCGGGACUGCUUUGGAAACUGUUUAACUAGAGUGCUGGAGAGGUAAGCGGAAUUCCUAGUGUAGCGGUGAAAUGCGUAGAUAUUAGGAGGAACACCAGUGGCGAAGGCGGCUUACUGGACAGUAACUGACGUUGAGGCUCGAAAGCGUGGGGAGCAAACAGGAUUAGAUACCCUGGUAGUCCACGCCGUAAACGAUGAA